rnacentral:lncRNA from 1 species
GCAUUUUCAUCAUGUAUUAGAGUUAGAAUUAUAAUUAAAAGCAUACUAUUAAGCAGCACAUAAUUCCUCAUCAUUUUAGUGCACAACCAGUGGAGAGGAAGGGUCAAGCUACAUGAACACUACUUGUGCCAUACAACCUAGUUAUGACCACUGGUUGAGUGUCCAUUCCCUCCUAGAUGGGCUCAUGAACCAUCUCCAAUCUUCAUGCACACUUUCUCCCCAAUGAUUGCAGAGUAAACG